AGAAGUUAGCCAUCAGUCUUACUGUUGCUUCUUUGAGUUGGGCUUAUCUUGCCCAUGAAGUUGCCUCUGAAGAACCAAGUCCAACUGUGUAUGCUGAGAGAUGUCUGGCUACUUCCUGAUUGACAGUUCUGGCAAGGUGGCAUUGGGCCCUGGCUUUUCCUCUGGAGGCAUCAUCACUUAUAGGAAAAUGUCCCCUGAAGUCCAAGGAUCAAAGCUGCUGGAACACUGAGAAGCUGAACAAAGGAGAACUGUUUCUCAUCAAACCCAGACUUCCAGACUUCCAAUAGGGUAGAAUGAGCAAGUCAGCAAAUCAUCUUCCUUGGAAACAGUGAUAAAACUAGAUGACAUUGUCAACAACAGCCAUUUCAGAAAUCUAGAAAAUGACCAAAGGCAAACAACAAACUGAGAAGCAUUUUUUUUUCCAUGAAAAAUCGCUCUAUUUCUGCAAAAAUAGUGGGAGUCUAUGGCUUCUCAUCCAGGGCUGUUUCUCUCCCCACCCCAGCUCAGUCAGUACAAAGGUUCUGGCAGCAUGAGGCAGACUGAACAGACCUGAAGUUUGAUUGCUGGAAGAAACUGACUCCAGGUUUGGCAGAGGGUGAGAAACCUACUCCCAGCCAUGUUGUCUGGUGACACAGUGACCUUAGGGACAAGUGAAUAGGGAAGGCCAGUGAUUCAUUAACCUGAGGUUGCAGUCCUGGUUGGGGAAAGCAUCAGAAUGGCAGAUAAGCUAGAAAUUUAGUAGGGAUAUGCUGGAAAUGAGACAACCCCAAAGGGGCUUGACCCCAAAGUUGUCCACACACCCCAGCUGCCUUCUGAGCAGAUGUAGGGAGAGACCAGAGAAGGCCUAGGCUAUCCACACAUCUCUGGCUAACCCAGGCUGUAAACCUGUGGAGGAGACACAAGAGGUGGAUUGAUUGCUAAUGGGCAUAUGGGGGAUCUUACUGGUUGAUAGGAACAUUCUCAAAUUGGAUUGUGGUGAUGCUUGCACAACUCUAAGUUUAUCCCAAAUUGCUAAAUUUUACACUAAAAAGGGGUGAACUUUAGGGUAUAUAAAUUAUACAUCAAUAAAGUUGUCAUAAAGCAUUCACAUUCUAAUAAAUGGCUCUAAGAAA
rnacentral:lncRNA from 1 species